rnacentral:lncRNA from 10 species
AAAAUCUGAGGCAUAAGGAGUAUGUGUGUAGAUUAUAUGCAAAUACUACACCAUUUUAUAUAAGACAUUGAGCAUCCAUGGAUUUUGCUAUCCUCAGGGGUCUAGAACUAGGCAUUAGCAUUGUGCCUAGUUGGGGCUUACCUGUAGCCUGUGUCCACUGGUGCCAGCCUGGAGGCUGGGUGUAUGGUUGCUAGUCCAGAAGCUAGGUCUGUGAAGAACUGAGUCCUGGAGCCAUGGUAGUGUCCCCAGAAUUGGUGGGUUCUUG